CUCCGUCCAUGGACAGCUGGCUCCGUUCCUCGGGCUCCAGGACUUGGAGCCUCUGCUUUGGACAGUCGUCCAGGCAGCCCUGCUCAGUUGUCACCCACAGGGAGGAGUGCAUUUGCUCACCAGCUGCUCUCCCCGAGGGGCGACCUGGGGCUGGGAAUGUGAGAGCAGAGGCGCUGAGCUGGUUGCUGCUGUCAUUUUGGGGUAUCCCAACCAUCUUACUCCCACCAUCUAUUUGGGUCCUCUGUCACCUCCAGUCACAGACUGGAAAGCCCCUGACCUAAAGAACAUCUGUUGGCACCCCUGGCACAAGAGCCACACCUGGUCCUUCCCCACAAGAGGAGGCCAGGCCUGCAGCCCACCAUCAGCCCCAAAGACCUCCACUGUCCACAGAGUCUGGACACAGAUGAGUCUGACCCGAAUGCUUCUCUGUCCUCUGAGCCUUCUAAGUCCUCUGACAUCAGGGACAUUUCAGCAGCUCAAGUCCCCUGGAUGAGCUUUGUUCCCCUCUUCUGGGCAGAAUGUCCAGCACUGGGCCUGGAAAAAAGAGAACGUUCAGAAGAGUCUCUUUGGAUUCUCAUCAAUCCACCCUCAAACUGUUGCAAUGCGGAGGAAAGACGGAUGUCAGAGAGCCAGAAGACACUGGCUGAAUGCAGACUAUGUCAUUUAUUAUUUAUGGAUCUUCCUUUCCCCAUCUUUCUCGGUUCCCUUGCUAUAAUGAGAACAGUGGCUUGAUCAUUUCUAGCAGGACUGACACCUACUUUCCCUGUCAGGUAGAACGGGGAAAAUAGGAAACAUUCCGGAGGAGAGACAGAAACUGCACCAGGAACAGGGAGGAUGUGCGGGAUAAGUGGUCACGCAGAAUUACCAGGCGGCAGAGUCCAAGAGUGCGCCGAUAGACAGAGCCAGCCAAGGGUCCCCAAGGGGAUCUCAGCAGCGUGCCCUCCAUCCUUCAUCUCAUGGUGGACAGCAGCUCUGGGCAGCCCCACCGGCUUAGGAGGGGGAGAGUAGAGGAGGCCACUAAAUCAGGAGGUAACUGUGAACAAGAGCAGAGCGAAAAGAAAAGGACGUGUGUGACAGUUGGUGUCUCUGGGUGUCUGUGAGCCAGCCCCCCUGCCAUGGUGAUAAGCUCACUGCUGGCAGUGACUCCCCUCCAAGGGUUCCCAGGUUCCAAACAAAUGUGCAGAGACACAUGUUUCCUUCUUCUCUAGGAAUGUGGAGUGCCCAGCAAUUGUGCCCAGUGACCUGGUCAGCCGUGGAUUGUUCUAGCUCAAAACAGACAGCACCAUGCAGCAGAGGACUAGCCCUGGGGCCUGUGGGCACAUGAUGGCUUUUGGACCCUCUCGUGGAAUUUCUCCAAGCUCCGGGGAGGAGUAGUUUUAUAUUCCCUGGGGGCUGGAGCAGAUAGGUUCCUUUGAAGCAUGGGUUCUUUUGAAAACUUGACAAAGUUUCACCUUUUGCUCGAUGGUAAAUCUGUUUGUUUUGACAUGAAAACAAUGUUUUUAAUGAGUUACUAUUGAAUAAACUGAAACUCUGGUUAUGUCAA